CUGUAAUAUAAGCGCUGUUAGUGAAAGUAUACUGAGAACGGUUUGCAGUAGUUACCAGUAAAAAUCCUAAAAUUAUAGUGAAAGUUAAGGAUUUUUCUAUUAUUUAAAUAAAUUUUUUAUAUAUGAAAUAUACAUAAAGAUAAUAAAUAGUAAUGCAAGAUGAAUAAGAUACAAAUAUUGAAAUCAGCGCCAUCUUAAAAAUGCCGCAAAUGAAAUACAAAAAAAAAAAGAAAAUGAGAUAGAGAUAGAGAUAUAAUAAGAAUAGACUCUUAGCGCCAUCUCUUGACACUUUUUGAAAAGCACAUUUCCAAUCGAAGAAAUCGAUAAAUAAUCGAUAAAUCGAUAAUAAAUUGGCUUAUGAUUGGCCAAUCAAAAAACUGUUAUUCGAAUUUUGGCACGCGUCAAUCUGCAAUGGAAAAUCAUCAUCAUGAAAGGAUAUAAGAUUUUAAUUUCGAUGACUACAAAAUAAAUUCAAGGAGCACCAGUUAUGUAUUUCAAUAUUUUUAUUAUCUCAAACAUAUGUGAUAAAAAAGAGAACUUUUUUCCAAAUCAACAUUUCCUAUUUUUCAAGGCAAUAUGAUCAUUUUGCUAUCUUUAAUUUCUUAAUUUCCUCAUUAUAAACAAAUGCUUGAUACUUGAUAGCUACAUGACUUUGUUCAUUAGCCAUCAUUGGUAUAUACUGAUUUGCAUUUUCUUCUUGCCACAUGUGGUUUUAUGUCGUAUCACAAAUUUUUUGGAAUUUGUGUGUCAUCAAUCAGUGUGAAUGUAAAUAUGAUGAAUGUUGAUACGAAGAGAAUUUGUUAGAUGUUCAAUCAAAGCUGAAUUAGGAACAAAGUGUUUAAAUUCUUAUAUAGAUAAGAAAUAUAAAAAAAAAACUUUCAGAAUAAAUUAAAUGUUAAUGUUAUAUUUUUAAUUCAAGUUUGUUUCAGGAUUUCUUAUAGGAAUAGAAGAUUGUAUAAUUGAUUAAAAAAAAGUGUAUUUAAAAUUAAGUGCAUGCAGAAUCAAGGGUAUUAAAUAAAGUUAUGUAUUGUAGAAAAGUAGAUACUGUAGAUAAAUAGGUGGAUAACAUACAUUUAGGAAAGGAGAAUUUAUUUACGAAUAAAAUAAUUUGGGAAAUUUAUAAA